rnacentral:rRNA from 1 species
UGGGAAUUUUGGACAAUGGGGCAACCUGAUCCAGCAAUGCCGCGUGUGUGAAGAAGGCCUUCGGGUUGUAAAGCACUUUUGUCCGGAAAGAAAACGUCGUGGUUAAUACCCGUGGCGGCUGACGGUACCGGAAGAAUAAGCACCGGCUAACUACGUGCCAGCAGCCGCGGUAAUACGUAGGGUGCAAGCGUUAAUCGGAAUUACUGGGCGUAAAGCGUGCGCAGGCGGUCCGCUAAGACAGAUGUGAAAUCCCCGGGCUUAACCUGGGAACUGCAUUUGUGACUGGCGGGCUAGAGUAUGGCAGAGGGGGGUAGAAUUCCACGUGUAGCAGUGAAAUGCGUAGAGAUGUGGAGGAAUACCGAUGGCGAAGGCAGCCCCCUGGGCCAAUACUACGCUCAUGCACGAAAAGCGUGGGGGAGCAAAACAGGAUUAGAUACCCUGAUAGUCCACGCCCUAAACGAUGUCAACUAGUUGUCGGGUCUUCAUUGACUUGGUAACGUAGCUAACGCGUGAAGUUGACCGCCUGGGGAGUACGGUC